CCUACGGGCGGCAGCAGUGGGGAAUAUUGGACAAUGGGGGCAACCCUGAUCCAGCCAUGCCGCGUGUGUGAAGAAGGCCCUCGGGUUGUAAAGCACUUUCAGUGAGGAAGAACGCCUGGUGGUUAAUACCCAUCAGGAAAGACAUCACUCACAGAAGAAGCACCGGCUAACUCCGUGCCAGCAGCCGCGGUAAUACGGAGGGUGCGAGCGUUAAUCGGAAUUACUGGGCGUAAAGCGCGCGUAGGUGGCUUGAUAAGCCGGUUGUGAAAGCCCCGGGCUCAACCUGGGAACGGCAUCCGGAACUGUCCAGCUAGAGUGCAGGAGAGGAAGGUAGAAUUCCCGGUGUAGCGGUGAAAUGCGUAGAGAUCGGGAGGAAUACCAGUGGCGAAGGCGGCCUUCUGGACUGACACUGACACUGAGGUGCGAAAGCGUGGGUAGCAAACAGGAUUAGCUACCCGAGUAGUC
rnacentral:rRNA from 1 species